rnacentral:rRNA from 1 species
AUACGGAGGGAGCAAGCGUUAUUCGGAAUCACUGGGCGUAAAGGACGCGUAGGCGGGUUUGUAAGUCAGGUGUGAAAUCCUACAGCUCAACUGUAGAACUGCACUUGAAACUACAGACCUAGAGUAUGGAAGGGGCAGAUGGAAUUAGUGGUGUAGGGGUAAAAUCCGUAGAUAUCACUAGGAAUACCGAAAGCGAAGGCGAUCUGCUGGGACAUUACUGACGCUGAGGCGUGAAAGCGUGGGGAGCAAACAGGAGUAGAAACCCCAGUAGUCC